rnacentral:rRNA from 1 species
GACAGAGGUGCCAAGCGUUAGGCGGAAUCACUGGGCUUAAAGCGUGUGUAGGUGGAUUUGUAAGUACCUUGUGAAAUCCCAUGGCUCAACCAUGGAACUGCUCGGUAUACUGCGAAUCUUGAGCCACUUAGGGGCUACCGGAACAAAUGGUGGAGCGGUGAAAUGCGUAGAUAUCAGGAGGAACACCUGUGGUGUAGACGGCUUUCUGGACCAUAGCUGACGCUGAGACACGAAAGCGUGGGUAGCAAACAGG